rnacentral:pre_miRNA from 1 species
CCAGACUAUCAGUCCAGGGCUUAGUCAGCGGGGCCCAGAGUGGCUUCCCUGGCUGGCACCUGGACUUAGGCUAUUUCUGU